AUUGAACGCUGGCGGCAUGCUUUACACAUGCAAGUCGAACGGCAGCGCGGGCUUCGGCCUGGCGGCGAGUGGCGAACGGGUGAGUAAUACAUCGAAACGUGCCCAGUAGUGGGGGAUAGCUCGGCGAAAGCCGGAUUAAUACCGCAUACGACCUGAGGGUGAAAGCGGGGGAUCUUCGGACCUCGCGCUAUUGGAGCGGCCGAUGGCAGAUUAGCUAGUUGGUGGGGUAAAGGCCUACCAAGGCGACGAUCUGUAGCUGGUCUGAGAGGACGACCAGCCACACUGGGACUGAGACAUGGCCCAGACUCCUACGGGAGGCAGCAGUGGGGAAUUUUGGACAAUGGGCGAAAGCCUGAUCCAGCAAUGCCGCGUGUGUGAUGAAGGCCUUCGGGUUGUAAAGCACUUUUGGCGGGAACGAAAAGGACUGUGCCAAUACCACGGUUCGAUGACGGUACCCGCAGAAUAAGCACCGGCUAACUACGUG
rnacentral:rRNA from 1 species